AUAACUUGAGAGUUUGAUCCUGGCUCAGGACGAACGCUGGCGGCAUGCCUAACACAUGCAAGUCGAACGAGA
rnacentral:rRNA from 1 species